rnacentral:tRNA from 1 species
GCCGGCGGGGCUGUGGGCUAGGCCGCCGCACUUUCACUGCGGAGGACAGGGUUCGAGUCCCUGGCCGGCU